AGGUUUUGUUUAACAUACUAUAUUUAAAGAACUGAUGUUGAUAUCAGCUUGAUGGCAAAAGUAAUUUUCUGUGGGCUCACAGGGAGAAUCAUUUUUCGAAAGUUGCAGUUUGAAAUAACCUUACAAAGCCUAAACACACCUGCUUAGAAAGGGACUUGAAAGGAUUUUGAUCGUACUGGGAAGACGUCUAUCAACAAUGCAGCAUUCUACUGGAGCUAGUGUAUCUGUCAGGU